rnacentral:lncRNA from 1 species
AAAGAUUUAAAAACAUACCAAAUGCCAUUUUUGUAAAGGAUCUUUUUAGAAACAGACAUGGUCUCAUCUUCCUUUGUUUGCCUCCAUUUAAAAAACAUCUAAACUCCCUAUCUUUACCCCUUCAAGAAUCCAGUGGAUACACUUCUAAACGAUAUUUGUCAUUUUGUGUGUGUUGUGUUUAUCAUGAGCAAUUUUCACUGGAUGACAAGAUAUACAGCGAUAUUGUGUCAGUUUAUUCUCUGUGAAUAUGUCUAUACAUAACUGAAAGCUAUAUUUAUUUGUACAUAGGCUGUUUGGAG